rnacentral:tRNA from 1 species
AAAGGAUUAGUUAAUUACAUAACAUCAGAAUGUCAAACUGAAAUUAUCAUAAAGAUAUCCUUUU